rnacentral:rRNA from 1 species
GGAUUAGAUACCCUGGUAGUCCACACCGUAAACGCUGUCUACUAGCUGUCUGUGUAUUUAAUACGUGGUAGCGUAGCUAACGCGCUAAGUAGACCGCCUGGGGAGUACGGCCGCAAGGUUAAAACUCAAAUGAAUUGACGGGGGCCCGCACAAGCGGUGGAGCAUGUGGUUUAAUUCGAUGCAACGCGAAGAACCUUACCAGGACUUGACAUCCUACUAAGUUACCAGAGAUGGUUUCGUGCCUUCGGGAAAGUAGUGACAGGUGCUGCAUGGCUGUCGUCAGCUCGUGCCG